UACAGAGGGUGCGAGCGUUAAUCGGAAUCACUGGGCUUAAAGGGCGCGUAGGCGGGCUGUCAAGUCUGGGGUGAAAUGCCGCGGCUCAACCGUGGAACUGCCUUAGAUACUGACGGCCUCGAGGAAGGUAGGGGCAUGCGGAACUGUAGGUGGAGCGGUGAAAUGCGUUGAUAUCUACAGGAACUCCGGUGGCGAAAGCGGCGUGCUGGACCUUUUCUGACGCUGAGGCGCGAAAGCUAGGGGAGCAAACGGG
rnacentral:rRNA from 1 species